rnacentral:lncRNA from 1 species
CAUAUAUCUAAGUAAGUGUUAUACAUUUACCUAAACUUUUUUACUGUGUGAUUUUUUUCCAUAGGUACUCAAGUAAGAAAUGAUAGUCUUUACUAACUACAGCAACCAUGUUAUCCUGCUGUUUUAUAUUUUAGAGAAAAUUUAUGUUUAACUUUGUGAUUGGCGAGCUAUUUGCUAUCCAAGGAAUUAACCAUGGAGUUGCAUGUCAUAGUAGCAAUUGUGGGUUUGUUUGCAGGUAAGUAGUAGAGAGAAAAUGGUAUCUGUAACAGUGCUAUAGACCUUGCAGUACUGCAAGAUUCCAGGUAUACUUGAUGGUUCUUGGAAUGAUGGUAGUGAAUAAGCUUAAUUGUGGGGUUCAAGGAAAAAAGCUGUGUCUACACACAUUUGUCAUAAUGUGUUUUUAGGAUCCUGUCAAGAAGACAUGGUAAACCUCAUCAUGAUCAAGAAUGAGACUUUGCUUGCAUCCAGGCUUCCCAAAAGUUGUUUGAUAGUAUACAGGCAUGAGAUGGUGUGACUCUAACUCAUUAGAUGCCUUCGUCUUUUCAGUCAUCAUGUGAUGGAAAGAAAGCUAUCAACUUCAUUCCUGAGACUUCCUGCAACACAGGAGCAGCAGGACAUCUGGGGAUGAGAAGAUGGAGAGAUCAUCCUUAUAUAAUGUUGCAGUCUGGAAGCAUCACUCUCAAAAAGCCAUUGUAGAGAAUCCAAGCCGAGUUUAAGAGUGCUGUGGAAAUACACUGCUGCUACUGCUGUUUCUAUUACUGUUUGAUGCUGGGACUCUUAUGCUCCAACCACGUUUUCACCCAGCUGAGUCGCCUUCGUAUCACGCCUUUCCAGUUCAACAAAGUGUGGACAGCUGUGCAGAAAUAUGAUUGGACAAAAAUGUUGUGAUCUAAAGCUAAUGGACUGAGUGUGGAAACCCAACAAGGCCUGUCUGUCUAGAUUCUUCUUGGCCUCUCUGAGCAGCGUUCCUUCCUUCUGGGUGUAAGGCAAGACCCUCUCUGGAGUGGGGGUGUUAUGACCUACAGUCAAACAAGAGAAAUAAAGUUCAUCACAGUGAGUCAAGAUGCCUCAUUCCAAGCUAUGGUGUAAAUUUCAUAGACUAAGAAAUGUGCAAGUUUCCUUUUUGCUAAGUAUGACACAUCACCUCUCUCUCACAAAGGGAUAUAUGUUGUUACUAAUGUAAACUCAUUAGUUUUGAUCAAUGUUUUGUGAACUCAAAA